CACGGCACCGCAUGGUGCUGAGGGAAAAGGACUUCGGUUUGCUUCGGGAUGGACUCGCGUCCAAUUAGCUAGUUGGUGAGGUAACGGCCCACCAAGGCGACGAUUGGUAGCCGGACUGAGAGGUUGAACGGCCACAUUGGGACUGAGACACGGCCCAGACUCCUACGGGAGGCAGCAGUGGGGAAUAUUGCACAAUGGGGGAAACCCUGAUGCAGCGACGCCGCGUGGAGGAAGAAGGUUUUCGGAUUGUAAACUCCUGUCUUCGGGGACGAUAAUGACGGUACCCGAGGAGGAAGCCACGGCUAACUACGUGCCAGCAGCCGCGGUAAAACGUAGGUGGCAAGCGUUGUCCGGAAUUACUGGGUGUAAAGGGAGCGCAGGCGGGUCGGCAAGUUGGAGGUGAAAGCUGUGGGCUCAACCCACAAACUGCCUUCAAAACUGCCGAUCUUGAGUGGUGUAGAGGUAGGCGGAAUUCCCGGUGUAGCGGUGGAAUGCGUAGAUAUCGGGAGGAACACCAGUGGCGAAGGCGGCCUACUGGGCACUAACUGACGCUGAGGCUCGAAAGCAUGGGUAGCAAACAGGAUUAGAUACCCUGGUAGUCCAUGCCGUAAACGAUGAUUACUAGGUGUGGGAGGAUUGACCCCUUCCGUGCCGCAGU
rnacentral:rRNA from 1 species